GAAUGAACGCUGGCGGCGCGCCUAAUACAUGCAAGUCGAGCGAGAAGACGUAGCAAUACGUUUGUAAAGCGGCGAACGGGUGAGGAAUACAUGGGUAACCUACCCUCGAGUGGGGAAUAACUAGCCGAAAGGUUAGCUAAUACCGCGUACGCUUCUUGGACUUCGGUUCAGGGAGGAAAGCGAUACCGUGGGUAUCGCGCUCUUGGAUGGGCUCAUGUCCUAUCAGCUUGUUGGNGAGGUAACGGCUCACCAAGGCUUCGACGGGUAGCUGGUCUGAGAGGACGAUCAGCCACACUGGCACUGCGACACGGGCCAGACUCCUACGGGAGGCAGCAGUAAGGAAUAUUGCGCAAUGGGCGAAAGCCUGACGCAGCGACGCCGCGUGGGGGAGUGAAGGUCUUCGGAUUGUAAACCCCUUUCGGGAGGGAAGAUGGAACGAGCAAUCGUUCGGACGGUACCUCCA
rnacentral:rRNA from 1 species